CCACGGUGGCCCUGAAAGAUUGGGGGGAAAAAACUCUGAUCACAGGAAGACUUCUAGGAACUGUAGUUCUUGUGAUGUUCAUGAAAUGUUUAGAACUCCACAAAACUUGAAACAUUCUGCUGACAGAUGAAUAUUGAACUCACCAGUAGUGGGAUCAGGUGUGCAGGAGUUGGACUGCAGCUGCAAAUCAUUUCCAAACAUUGAGCUCCUACUCCUCCGCUCUGCCAGAUCCUAUUCUCUGCUCAACUCCAUUCCACUACUUCAUCUACUUGAUUCCACCUGUAUCAGCACAUAUCUCUGGACGUGAACUAACCAGCACGCCCCCUGCAAACUCGCCUGCCUUACUCUGCUCCAUUCCCACAAAGUGCUGUCAUGAUUUAGUCAGGUUUUGUUUUAUUUAAAUCUUCUUGUUGUAGUUUUUCUUAUUGUAUUCUUCCCUAGUGUUGCUUGUGUCCAUUGUGUUUCUUUCAAUGUUUCACUUUAAUAAUCACUUUAUCUUGCAAUUCUCUGCACAUACUGUCUCAAUUCCCUGCAGUUUACAUCAUCAUUCAUUUUGUACUUGUGUAUAUACCCCCUUUCCUUAUUUAUCUAAUCUAUUCUGUUUAAUGUGUAUUUUGACCUUACUUGUCUGUGCUGCUAUGAUGCCUGAAUUUCCCCUCUGGGGAUCAAUGAAGUCCUGUCCUAUCCUG